AACGAACGCUGGCGGCGCGUUUUAAGCAUGCAAGUCGGACGGCAGCGUGUAGCAAUACGCGUGAGAGUGGCGAACGGGUGAGUAACACGUAGGUGACCUAACUUAGGUGAUGGGGAUAGCCUGUGGAAACACAGGGUAAUACCGAAUACAUCUUUACGGGUAAAGCCGUGAAGGGAAAGGCGCUUUAGGCGCUGCACGUAAGGGGGGCCUGCGGACCAUUAGGUUAGUUGGUGGGGUAAGGGCCUACCAAGGCGACGAUGGAUAGCCGGCCUGAGAGGGUGUACGGCCACACUGGGACUGAGACACGGCCCAGACUCCUACGGGAGGCAGCAGUAGGGAAUAUUGGUUAAUGUGCGAAAGCGCGAACCAGCAACGCCGCGUGUGCGAUGAAGGCCUUCGGGUCGUAAAGCACUUUUUGCAGGGAAGAGGAAGGACGGUACCUGCAGAAUAAGUCUCGGCUAACUACGUG
rnacentral:rRNA from 1 species